rnacentral:rRNA from 1 species
CCUACGGGUGGCUGCAGUGAGGAAUAUUGGACAAUGGGGGCAACCCUGAUCCAGCAACGCCGCGUGAGUGAUGAAGGCCUUCGGGUUGUAAAGCUCUGUUGAUGGGGAAGAAGUAAGUGACGGUACCCAUCGAGGAAGCACCGGCUAACUCCGUGCCAGCAGCCGCGGUAAUACGGAGGGUGCAAGCGUUGUUCGGAAUUACUGGGCGUAAAGGGGGCGUAGGCGGUUUGUUAAGUCAAAUGUGAAAGUCCACGGCUUAACCGUGGAAGUGCAUUUGAGACUGUCAGGCUAGAGUUUCGGAAGGGAAAGUGGAAUUCCUGGUGUAGGAGUGAAAUCCGUAGAUAUCAGGAGGAAUACCGGUGGCGAAGGCGACUUUCUGGACGAAUACUGACGCUGAGGCCCGAAAGCGUGGGGAGCAAACAGGAUUAGAUACCCGGGUAGUCCG